AAGAGACCCCAUCGUUUCGCUGGGGGAGGCGCUGAAACCCUUGAAAUCAAAUGCUGGGACUUCUUUGCCACCUUGGCCUGGCAGAGCCCCCAUUCCGCUGAGCAAAAUUCACAGAAGAGUUCAUGCAAAGAAUGGGAAAUGCGCUGCCCCCGCCCCGAAAUUCCAAGAGCUUUUCCGCCGAGGAAAGCAGGUAACCGCUCAAAUACCCUUGGUCGUAUUUACAAUAUGUAACUGGUCGGAGCAAAACCUUUGCACAGACCAUGGGGAGCAGCCCCACAGCAGCCUGGGGAGAAGGCGCAUCGCCCCUCCCGCCGCGCACGCUCCGCUGUCAGACCAGACGCGGCUCUGAGGGCAAGUGGGGGAACCGCACGUCCCGGACCCGCACAGCCAGCAUCGUCACCCCCGGCGCCCGGGAGCAGGACGCUCGCCUGCAGCCCCCUCGCCUUACUGAUUGGAAAACUGCAUUUAAAACAGUGAUUUAUCCAACAAGUCGGAUUCUAACCCGUCUGCACGAUGUCAAAGGACAUCUCUGGCCGCUGCUCCACAAAUCUGACUCAUCACACACCGCACACGGCCUCUGGCAAAACGCCUCGCGCAUACGAGGUGUUCAAUAAAUGCGAGCUAGUAAGUGAAUUGAUUAAACCGAGCCAGGCAACGUUUUCAGUGAAUCGGAUCGGAACCCCGGAAUGCUCUUCGCUAGCUGGGCGAACCGUUUAGCUCUGGCAUCUUUCUCUCCAUGGAGGAUAGAUAGUUCAGUAAGUAUUUGUGGAAAGAAGACCAAGUUUCCAGCUUCCAUUAGACCACCCUCAACUCACACAUUUUACUUAGGUGUGUAAGUAACCCCAAGCAAGCUACAACGAGGCUUGGCAGAGAAAGCAUACUUUUUCUUUAAGGUGACCUAGCAUACUUUUCUUAUACUAUCUGGCUGCUUUAUAACUUGAUUCACUGAUGGGAAUUUUAACUUUCCAGUUGCAAAGAACAUGCUCCCUACUCGGCGCGGAAACGACUGUCCUGAAUUUGGAGUUCAGUAAUAAUUACAGUUACCACAUUUCCUUCCUAUGGAAACAUACUAAUAAAGCAGGAUAUGUAGGAAGGCAACGUGCAUUUUACCCCUCUAUGUAAGAAAAGAAAAAAUGGAGAAGAUAGCAACUUGAUUUUACUAUGUGUAUCUGUUAAAAUAUUGGUAAAAUUAAAGAUAUUGGAAAAAUA